CUCCUUCCCUUCACAAGCAUCAGUUGUAAGCGUGAGGACCAGCUUGCCACUUGGUGGUAUCUUUUCAGGUUCCUGUAUUGACCCCCCAACGCAGUGGAAUCUCUCAGGAACAGUCUUCCAGUCUUUUGCCAUCUUAACCAUUGCUCCUGCAUCUAGGACACCAUAGCCAAAUAAAUGAUUGAAUUCCAGCCCAACACCAUUCCUACGCCACCGAUGAACUUCGUCAUGAAGUUGGUUCCUUUUGGAGGUAAGCAAGGAGUGGGAAGGGAUCAACUCCACUCCGUCUUCUCAUGCCAUCCUAUGACUGGAAGAAGGACUGGAAAGAGGCAAAUACUACUGGAACAAGCUGAUAGCAG
rnacentral:lncRNA from 1 species